CAUAAGCUUCCCAAGGAAGCUAUUGAAUUGACUUUACCUCACACCUAUCGUCCAAAGCAACACCAAAAGGUAAGAGUUGAAAAUCAAUUUCCUUUCUUCCCACUUACCAGUCGAUCUACACCCAAGGAAAAUGGAAAACUUCAUCUCCCUCUCCAAGCAAGCCAUAGCCAACCUUCACCUAUUUCCUUCCUCUUCUCUUUCCAUCUUCAAGAAAGUAAGUUCAUCUUAUCACCUUCAAGCCUUGUGACUCCAUAGCAAGGGAAGAAGAAAAAUAUUUUCUCUCAUCCUCUUCAAGCCAUACGAGUAUACUCCCUCCCUACUCAUUUUCGGGUUUUUCCUUAAACCUUGGAACUAAAAUUUGAUUUCAUCUUCUAAAUGGUGAAAUAUUGAAGGAAUAUUGAUGAAUGAAAGUAUCGAGGAGCAUAGAGGUAAUGAUGAAAAGGCUAGGGAGAAAGGCAUUACUGCAGAGGGAGAGGCAAACGCUUAGGACCUUCCCUAACGAGGACAAUUAUGUUACGAAUGAUGGGUUAUGUUAUGUAUAGAUAUUUUAAUUUGGGAUGGACUCUGAGAGUCUCUUAUGGAUGAAUGUUUGAAUAGAAUGUCCAUUAGGUGUUCCCUUUUAUUAAAUGAAAAAUUUAGAGUGCACGUGUGUCAUGUCC